AAUUUUUUAUGAAAGUUAGCAUAAACAAAUUUGCCUUAUUAUUUUUGAAAAUCAAGUUGUAUUAUGAGUAGUAAUUCAACAAUUCACCAUAACAAACGUAUAAAAAAAUCUAAUAAAUGUGAAAUAAUAAAUAAUGAGAUUAUUGAAAAAGAAAUUCAAAUUUGGGCUAAUGGGAUAUGUAAAGGGUUUAAUUCACUUUAUAAUUGGGAAAAUGCUUACACGAAAAGAGUGGAUAGCUUAAAAGAAAAAAUUAAGAUACAAAGUAUAUUAUAUCCAUGGAAAGAUCAAUUUGAUAACAAUCAUGAGCAUGAAAAAUUGUUAAGCUCAAGUUAAU